GGAGGGGAUAGGAGGGUUGAGGAAAGGAAACCUGGAAAGAGGAUAACAUUUGAAAUACAAAUGCAUAAAAUUUCCAAUAAAAAAAGAAGAAAAAGUUAAAAAAAUCCACAACCUAUAAAAUGCAAAGUUGUAUGGCCCAGUCCCAAAGGAUACAUCUACAAAACCUCUCCCCAACCUAAGUCUCAGGGAAUAUUAUAAAAGAGAGGACAAAAAUAUUGUAAGAGUCAGAGGAUCAGGCAAUUGGCUGUGAACUUUGUUCUUCUAGCAAUGUCAGAAGCUAUGCUCAUAAAGUCAUACAGUUAUGACUUCCUAAACAUAAGCUGAACAAAGAUAACAACUUGUACCCUAAGUGGAUGGACUAGGAGGCCUCAACCUUAUACAAUAACUAAAGACCACUAAGGAAACCUUUGAAUGAGAUAAAUACUUUUUCCUAUGGAAAAACACAUCAAGGGAUUAUCCAAUACCAAAUGGACAACCCAGAAAACAUAUAUACAAGUAACAUUAUGUAGACUGAGCAUGCUGUAUUUAUGCAUUUAGAAAUAUAUAAUGUCAUAUAUAUGUAAUAUUAUAUUAUAUCACAAAUAUAUAUAUAUAUAUAUAUAUAUAUAUAUAUAUAUAUAUUCCAACAUCCAUUUAUUCAGAAAAGAGUACAAAGGGGUAUGGGGAGAGUUUAGAUAGAAAAGAAGAAAAGAGUAAAUUCUAUAAAUAAAAUUCAAAACAAUAAAUAAAACAUUUAUCUCCUAUAUCUGCAUUUUCAGAAUUCUCAAAAGAUGUGUAGAAAAAUUUGUCAAUUCUCCAGUGAAUUUUUAUAGUUUUCACGUGAAUUAUUUGGCUCUGGUAAUGUGGGUUUACUUGUCUCCUUUAUAUUCUAUUUUCUGUGUACCUAUGUGUUUGAGAUAGCGCCAUUAUAUUUUAGAAUCAGGUUUUGGACUGCCUCAAGCUCUGUUAGUUUUGUCAAACUAUCUCUGGUGAAUAUGAUUUAUUUUAUAAAACAUAGUUGCUUUACCAUAAACUAACAUACAUAGUUUUUGUCCACUUUUUGAAUUGAUACCCUUACUAUUAUAUUAGGUCUUCUUUAUUUCUUUUCAUAUUAUUUUGUCUCAUACUAUGUGUUAACUUAUAUGCAAGUAUUACUGCUUGUUUGGGGUUCUAUUUUUAUGGAAAUUCUUUUAACAUCCUUUCAGUUUCAGAGUGUAUGUGUCUUUGCUAAUGAAAUUAUUUUCAUUUUUCUGAAAGCCUUAGCUUUGAAAGUGUGUAUGGGGAAGGUUUAGAUUUACUUUUAUAGAUGAGCAUGCAUUUCUUCUGCUAGGUCUUUUGGGGGAUGAUAUGGGUCAAUUCAGAAAAUGAAAACAGCAGGAGAACUGGGCUUUAUGAACACAAGCCAAGCAUAGCUCUAUCACUAUGUAGAACUAAGGCUUGUCAACCUUGGCACCAUCUGUAGGCAUAGGCCUUACCUUUGAAACCUAGAAAAAUUCUCAGGGGGCAACAGUCAUAUUCCUUUCCUAAUAUUAGUUGGCUUUCAGCAUUUGUCAGUCUUGUCUUAAGAACUGAAAAGUUCAAGCACUCAUUAGUUUCAAGGUAACAAUUUGUCUUAUUAGAAUAUAUUUCCUUCUCAAUGGCAAAUUUGCUAUUCUUAAAAUCCCUGCUUCUUCCCAGUUUUAGAGUUCAGCAAAGAAUAUAUUACCAGCCUAUCCUUGAAGACAGUCCUUUCCUAAGCCCUUCAUGAAGGGGUAACCAAUACCCUGAAUAUCCUAGAAUUUUUCACCCCCUUUGGUCUCUUUUUUUAAGUGUUUGAGGCUUUUAUACUGCGAGAAAGAGUAUGGUGAUGAUAUAAUGAAAUUGUCACCUUUCCUCAUGGUUAUUUAUGCACAAUGGGCUUUUACCCAGGAACAAAAUUCUUAGACGCAUCCCAAUGUAUUUAUGAACAUGCUUGAAGUCAUAGAGAAGAUCUUGUAAAUGUGGAGAGUACUUUUUUCCUCACGACUACAGCCUCAAAUAGACUUUAUGUUAUUUUAUUAACUUACACUCAUCUUUUAAUAAAGUUUAACCGCAUAUUUC
rnacentral:lncRNA from 1 species